rnacentral:rRNA from 1 species
GAUGAACGCUGGCGGCGUGCCUAAUACAUGCAAGUCGAGCGAACAGACGAGGAGCUUGCUCCUUCGACGUUAGCGGCGGACGGGUGAGUAACACGUAGGUAACCUACCUAUAAGGCUGGGAUAACUUCGGGAAACCGGAGCUAAUACCGGAUAAUAUUUCGAACCGCAUGGUUCGAUAGUGAAAGAUGGCUUUGCUAUCACUUAUAGAUGGACCUGCGCCGUAUUAGCUAGUUGGUAAGGUAACGGCUUACCAAGGCAACGAUACGUAGCCGACCUGAGAGGGUGAUCGGCCACACUGGAACUGAGACACGGUCCAGACUCCUACGGGAGGCAGCAGUAGGGAAUCUUCCGCAAUGGGCGAAAGCCUGACGGAGCAACGCCGCGUGAGUGAUGAAGGUCCUCGGAUCGUAAAACUCUGUUAUUAGGGAAGAACAAACGUGUAAGUAACUGUGCACGUCUUGACGGUACCUAAUCAGAAAGCCACGGCUAACUACGUG